rnacentral:rRNA from 1 species
GAUGAACGCUGGCGGCGUGCCUAAUACAUGCAAGUCGAGCGAACAGACGAGGAGCUUGCUCCUCUGACGUUAGCGGCGGACGGGUGAGUAACACGUGGAUAACCUACCUAUAAGACUGGGAUAACUUCGGGAAACCGGAGCUAAUACCGGAUAAUAUAUUGAACCGCAUGGUUCAAUAGUGAAAGACGGUUUUGCUGUCACUUAUAGAUGGAUCCGCGCCGCAUUAGCUAGUUGGUAAGGUAACGGCUUACCAAGGCAACGAUGCGUAGCCGACCUGAGAGGGUGAUCGGCCACACUGGAACUGAGACACGGUCCAGACUCCUACGGGAGGCAGCAGUAGGGAAUCGUCCGCAAUAGGCGAAAGCCUGACGGAGCAACGCCGCGUGAGUGAUGAAGGUCUUCGGAUCGUAAAACUCUGUUAUUAGGGAAGAACAAAUGUGUAAGGAACUAUGCACGGCUUGACGGUACCGAAUCAGAAAGCCACGGCUAACUACGUG